rnacentral:rRNA from 1 species
UACGUAGGGGGGCAAGCGUUGUCCGGAUUUACUGGGCGUAAAGAGCGCGUAGGCGGAAGGUGAAGCGUGGCCUGAAAGCCCCCGGCUCAACCGGGGAAGGCGGCUGCGAACUGGCCUUCUUGAGGGCGAUAGAGGGGGGCGGAAUUCCUGGUGUAGCGGUGAAAUGCGUAGAGAUCAGGAGGAACACCCGUGGCGAAGGCGGCCCCCCUGGGUCGGCCCUGACGCUGAGGCGCGAAAGCGUGGGGAGCGAACGGG